UACGAAGGGGGGCUAGCGUUGCUCGGAAUCACUGGGCGUAAAGCGCACGUAGGCGGCUUUUUAAGUCAGGGGUGAAAUCCUGGAGCUCAACUCCAGAACUGCCUUUGAUACUGGAAGCUUGAGUCCGGGAGAGGUGAGUGGAACUCCGAGUGUAGAGGUGAAAUUCGUAGAUAUUCGCAAGAACACCAGUGGCGAAGGCGGCUCACUGGCCCGGUACUGAUGCUGAGGCACGAAAGCGUGGGGAGCAAACAGG
rnacentral:rRNA from 1 species